UGCUUCAAGGAAAUGCUACUCCGAUCAUGUACUUGUCAGGCGAUUCAGAUUCAAUUGGCGUCAGAAAUUUAGAAUCCUUUGAGCUGACCACUCAAACCGGCUGAAGCUAUCCAUUUCUCCAGCGUUGUGGCUGACGACACAAACGCCGACUUGGAUGAAUCAACAUCACUCUUGUUCACAGAUGUAAUCAAGGAGGCCAAGGAGG
rnacentral:misc_RNA from 1 species